UAGGGAAUCUUCCGCAAUGGACGAAAGUCUGACGGAGCAACGCCGCGUGAGUGAAGAAGGAUUUCGGUUCGUAAAACUCUGUUGUUAGGGAAGAAAAAAUGUAUAGUAACUAUAUACAAAAGAGACGGUACCUAACCAGAAAGCCACGGCUAACUACGUGCCAGCAGCCGCGGUAAUACGUAGGUGGCAAGCGUUGUCCGGAAUUAUUGGGCGUAAAGCGCGCGCAGGUGGUUUAGAAAGUCUGAUGUGAAAGCCCACGGCUCAACCGUGGAGGGUCAUUGGAAACUAAUAAACUUGAGUGCAGGAGAGAAAAGUGGAAUUCCUAGUGUAGCGGUGAAAUGCGUAGAGAUUAGGAGGAACGCCGGUGGCGAAAGCGGCUUUUUGGCCUGCAACUGACACUGAGGCGCGAAAGCGUGGGGAGCAAACAGG
rnacentral:rRNA from 1 species